GACGAACGCUGGCGGCGUGCUUAACACAUGCAAGUCGAGCGGUAAGGCCCUUUCGGGGGUACGACGAGCGGCGAACGGGUGAGUAACACGUGGGUGACCUGCCCUUAGCUCUGGGAUAAGCCUGGGAAACUGGGUCUAAUACCGGAUAUGACUCCAUGACGCAUGUUGUGGGGUGGAAAGCCUUGUGCGGCUAGGGAUGGGCCCGCGGCCUAUCAGCUUGUUGGUGGGGUGAUGGCCACCAAGGCGACGACGGGUAGCCGGCCUGAGAGGGCGACCGGCCACACUGGGACUGAGACACGGCCCAGACUCCUACGGGAGGGCAGCAGUGGGGAAUCUUGCGCAAUGGGCGGAAAGCCUGACGCAGCGACGCCGCGUGAGGGAUGACGGCCU
rnacentral:rRNA from 1 species